rnacentral:lncRNA from 1 species
CCACUCAAAUUUCUAAAACCCUGAACUUAGAAUUUCAAUAAUUUCUUCGUUUCACAUCUCUGCUCCUCCACCAUCACAAUCCAGAGCCUUUGGCGUUAAAAAUCCUCCCCAAAUUAUCUCUGCAAGUUACCCAAUUAUUAUGAUUGAUAAAAUGAAAUUAGGAUUCUAAGUUAGAAUGAUGAAUUUUGAAGAAGAAGUAAAAGCACAUGAGGAUGAUCUUAUGCAAGCGAAACGUCGACCUAAGCCCCACUUCAGAUCAG